GAUGAACGCUGGCGGCGUGCCUAAUACAUGCAAGUCGAGCGAACAGACGAGGAGCUUGCUCCUCUGACGUUAGCGGCGGACGGGUGAGUCACACGUGGAUAACCUACCUAUAAGACUUAGGUCACUUCGGGAAACCGGAGCUAAUACCGGAUAAUAUAUUUAACCGCAUGGUUCAAUAGUUUAAGCGGGUUUUGCUGUGCCUUCUAGCUGGAUGCGCGCCGGAUUAGUUAGUUGGUAAGGUAACGGCUUACGAAGGCCACGAUGCGUGGCCGACCUGAGAGGGUGAUCGGCCACACUGGAACUGGGCGACGGUCCAGACUCCUACGGGAGGCAGCAGUAGGGAAUCUUCCGCGAUGGGCGAAAGCCUGACGGAGCAGCGCCGCGUGAGUGAUGAAGGUCUUCGGAUCGUAAAACUCUGUUAUUAGGGAAGAACACAUGUGUAAGUAACGAUGCACGUCUUGACGGUACCUAAUUAGAAAGCCACGGCUAACUACGUG
rnacentral:rRNA from 1 species